CUGGUUGUUUUAUAUUUACAAUGCGAUAAAAUUAUAAUAAAAUCGGGGUUUAUUUUGAAUGCAAUGGAAUAGAGCGAAUAGUUUUCAAUGAAUCAGCGAACCGGUUUUCUCGGUGGGCGGGUACUAGACGAUCGAUUUGCCCGCCAUCGCACCACUGAUAAUGAGAUAGAAAAACAGAAAUCAAAUUUACCUGAAAUUUUCCG